GACGAACGCUGGCGGCGUGCUUAACACAUGCAAGUCGAACGGAAAGGCCCUGCUUUUGUGGGGUGCUCGAGUGGCGAACGGGUGAGUAACACGUGAGUAACCUGCCCUUGACUUUGGGAUAACUUCAGGAAACUGGGGCUAAUACCGGAUAGGAGCUCCUGCUGCAUGGUGGGGGUUGGAAAGUUUCGGCGGUUGGGGAUGGACUCGCGGCUUAUCAGCUUGUUGGUGGGGUAGUGGCUUACCAAGGCUUUGACGGGUAGCCGGCCUGAGAGGGUGACCGGCCACAUUAGUACUGAGAUACGGCCCAGACUCCUACGGGAGGCAGCAGUGGGGAAUAUUGCACAGUGAGCGGAAGCCUGAUGCAGCAACGCCGCGAGCGUGAUGACGGCCUUCGGGUUAUAAACCGCUUUCGCCUGUGACGAAGCGUGAGUGACGGUAAUGGGUAAAGAAGCACCGGCUAACUACGUG
rnacentral:rRNA from 1 species